rnacentral:tRNA from 1 species
GCAGGCGUAGUGUUUAACGGAUAGCAUACUGGUCUUCCAAACCAGGGGUACGGGUUCAAAUCCCGUUGUCUGCUCCA